AGUAGUUUGUCAGAUCCUAAGUGACAAAGGAAGCAAAAUUUAAUUAGGGGGAAGGAGAGUGAUAUCUAGAGAGGAAAAGGAGAAGCAGAGUUGGGGGCUAGGGAGAGAAAGCACCCUGGCUUACAGAGAUGACUGCAUGGAGGCACCAGUGAAUGUGAGUGGAGGGGAGAAGAAAGGUUCCCAAGAUAGAGAAAGGAUGCUGCAGUGAAAGGCUUGGAGCUGACCUUGUGAGGUCCUGGAUCCAAUUACAGGAGUGGAUGAUUGUCACAACAAGAGUGGGCUGCUGGUAGAGAAGAUGACUGCCAAAAAGGGGAUCAGUCCAAGCCUCACCAAUUUACCAGAAAUGGACCGGGAAUGAUGGAUAUAACCGGAGAGCUGGAACAUGCACCCUGCUGGCCGGAAGCAGAUGAAGGACCUUGAGGCCACUUGAAACAAAGAAACUUUGAUGUCCC